UUAGGAAUGAAAUCUUACUAUUGCACUUGGUUGGAUAAAAUUACCAAAAUGUACACUGAAAGAAAUGUUUGUUGAUCGAAUGAUGUCUUGAGGUUGUGAUCUAAAACAAGUACAAUUGUUUGAACCUCCUUCCAUUAACAUUUCAACGGGUGUUAUCACCUGAUUUAGAAAAUGACUGCGACAAACUAUGAACAAAAAUUAUGCAAAAAGUGACUUGAAUUGAAUGAUCUUUCAACAUUUUCACAUAAUCAGCCGCGAUGUUGCCAACGCUUGCAUAGUCCCUUGAUAUAUGAAAGUUACUUCAUGCUCGUGAUUCACAUUGGGAGUUCAAACCUGAAUAAAUCAAUGUUUAGAGUC